rnacentral:misc_RNA from 1 species
UUAAUUUUUGUUUGUUUUUCAGACAGUUGCUUGUUCAAGAAGAGUUUAUUGAUUGGCCCCGUUGGCGCCGCCGUGAAGCAGACGCCGAGGCAACAGAAGGUACUAUAAAGGCAAGGGUUCUAUCUCGAUAGGGCCGAAGCCCCACGAUAAUGAUCCUUCCGCAGGUUCACCUACGGAAA